rnacentral:tRNA from 1 species
GGUUUGUAGCUCAGUGGUAGAGUGCUCUCCUCGCAUGUGAAAGGCACUAGGUUCGAUCCUCAGCACCA